GGGGAAUCCUGCAGCUGGAGGGGCCACAGCUAUGCGCAAGGUGAGCACUUCCCAGGCAGCUCUCUGAAGGCUAAAGGGCGACCCCUAAGUACCCUGGAUGCCCCCGGAAUAGCCAUGUGAGCCCAGAGCCCACACAUGCCAUGUGACAGGACCUCGUCCAACCACAGUCACAUCUGGGCUUUUCUCCAUCAAGAGUGAAAAAGGCAAACACUUUAGAGACUCCCGACCUCGGGUCUCCUCCCACCUCCACUUGCAGCUGCUGGGAAGCUGCCAGAGUGCAGAUUGUUCUCUGAAACUCAUUCAGGAAGAAUCUGUUCCCUGGGCUUCUCGAAGUGAACCGGCCACCUCUGAGCCACCCGAGGGUGGGUCAGAGCUCAGCAGGCCCAGGAGCUGAAGACGCCGCUAAUGCCUCGGGUCCUCGCCUGCCACCAGGCAGCUCCCGAAUGCUGACCCCGAAGGCCGCUGUCCCGUUUCCUCUGUCUCUUUACAGGAAAACGGGGGCGGAAAUGAAAUGUCAGGGCCGGUGGACACUGGCCUUUCAGCAUCUCCCAAAGAUGAGAAGCGCCCUCCGUCUCUGAUUAUAACUGCUUCUGUGACAUGUAAGGCACAAAAAUUAUCCUGUGAGGUCGGACACCAGAGAAACCCACGGGCACUGGGCUGUCUGGAGGAUAUUUUAAGGUUUCUGAAUGAAAAAUAAAACGGGCCGCUGCUGGACUCACAGGCCAUCGGGAGGAUGAAAACACACGCGUGAUUGCCGCAUGGUGGCUGUGACGUUAACAAGCAUUUGAUACCAGGUGAAGACGUGGAGGACCCCAAAUCUGAGACUAAGUUUGGAAGGAGAUGAGACAACUGGGUUGUGUGGUCUCACCCCUGAGCCCUGUAGCCACCUGGACUCUCCAGCCCAGCGCCAUGUCGCAGAAGCUCCGUGUGGUCACCAGGCCAGCAAUGGAAAUAUCACCUGCACACUGCCCUUGGGGGAGCCCAGUCCCCAUGCUGUGAUCUCGCUCAUCCAGCCAGCAGACCCGGGGUUCCGAGUGGAGGCCCCAGUGGAAUUUAAGACCUGUUCAUCCCACUUACAGAGGUGCUGGUUGCUGUCUGUAUUUCUGUAUUGAUGGUGGCCAUGGGGGGCUCCCCGCUGCUCUCCAGGUCUCCGUCCAGUUUGGGACUCCAUUGUCCCUCCCACGGGUCUCCGCUUUCUCACACCCAGCUCCUCCUCUCCCGCUUCCUUUAUCAUCUUCACUUGAGGUCCUGGCCUCCUCAGGAUAGCAACCCUCAGCUCUGCAGACCAGACAAAAGGGCAGUUGUGGUCUGGGAGAGCUUGUUGAUCUGAAUUCCGUAACGAUUCAUUUUUAUGCAGUGGUAUGUGUGUGUGCUCGCGCACACGUACACACACACGUACACACACACGUACACACACACUGCAUCUUUGAAAAGGCUUCAGGCUGGAAGAUAGCUGCCCUUGGUGUGUUGAGGGCAAGAGCUGUGCAGGGUGGUACAAGGUUUCUCUCCCAAACCCAUCAUUGCCACAACCACUCCAGUGCAAAACUGUGUAGACUCUCUUCUGGCAGGCACUGCAUUCCAGGAGCCAGUCUUUCCCCUAGCGAGAGGCCCAAGUCCAUGGCUGGAAGCAACCUCUGCUCCUGGUGCUGGCACAGUCAGAGCAUCAUGGACCACAUUUGCUUUGGGGAGGGAAAGAACUUCUGGAGCCUGCAUCUCUGGUACCCAGGUGACAGCAGACCCAGCCGUGUCACUGCAGCCAGGCCGUGCUUGGCAGCUUUAGGGAAACAAAUUAGCAGAUGACUGCAGGGUCCAGGGACUUAGCAAGCUGCCUCCAGGGCAGAGGAAUCAAAAGACAGAUUUGUUUGUUUAUUUGUUAUUUUUCUGGCCCUGGCUUCAAUUCCCAUACACAGAACUUGGCUGUGGGAUUCUUUAAAAAAAAAAAAUCAUUCUAUUCUUGGAUUUUAAGCCAUUAUUAAAAUUCUAUUGUAUUUUUUUCA